rnacentral:tRNA from 1 species
AGAUUGUAUGGCAAGAUG